UGGAGUAAUCACCGACCAUAUAAUUGUGUCUAAGCAAUUCUUUACCUAUUGGCUAUAGAAUUGUUGAAGACAACUUAGUUAUUACCAAAUUGAUUAUCCCACAGCAUUUGAGGUUUUAAAGACAACUAAUUCUUGAUAUUACAUUAUUACAUGCAUAGCCUAUUUAAUCCUCCUAUCAAAAAAGCCUAUUUAAUCCUAUCAUGUAUAUAAUGGGCCUUUACCUCACAAUUAUUUAUGAUCACGAGUCUUUAAUUUGUAAAUAUUGUAUUAGCCGAAUGCCUUGUGUUUUCAUUGCACACAAUCAUCAUGAUAGGCAAACGUGAAUGCAUCCUUUGGUGUUGCUGAAAUUUAUAUCCG
rnacentral:lncRNA from 1 species